CUCUCUCUCUCCCUCUCCCUCUCUCUCUGUCUCUCUCGCUCUCGCUCUCUCUAAUUCAGAUUCAACUGCUUCUCACAAUAGCUACCUUUGUUGUUGUCAUUUUUUGGCCGCGAGUUUUUGGGAUAUUUCUCCUUGAAACUGUUUUUAGAGAUGAGGCAAUGUUCCAACGGUGGCAUUCGUAUAAUAGGUUUAUUUUUCCUAUUAUAAGAGAAUUUUUACCAUUGGUAUAAUGGAGCGUAAGGUUAAUCUCUUAAGUCAAUUCUCAAAGAUAAACAAAUUUGAACUUGAAACUAGUUUUUUUUUUAAUAAUAAUCUGCUAUGUUCAGAUUUAGAUGCACCAUAAGAGCAAACAAACAUUAAGAAACGGUCAGGGAAACACUUUUUGGAAUGAGUAAAGCCGAUAAUGGUGAUGUGUGAGAUGGUUAGGCUGUAAUAUAUCUGUAAGGUGUAGGUCUUCAUCGAUUCCAUAAGACUUAUUUAUAGGUCGAGCUCGUAUAUGUUACAGAAAACGUUCGUGAACCUGAAUAAAUGAGGCGAAGUGGGAGGAGAGGUGAGCUGGAGUUUAAUGACUGAAUUAAAGCAGGUGUUUUUGAAAAAGAGAAAACGUUACAGAAAAUCUAAUCGGAGACCAUGGCAAAUGAUAGGGUUAUGGGGUCGAAGAGGAAGGAGAAGACAAAACUAAUCUAAAGCGGACCACCGUUAUGAAAGUAGGAAUGACCCAAAAAUAACUAAAGGCUAUCAAUGUUUUGCACUAAACGAACAUAUUCAGAAAGAAUAAGAAGUUGUCUCUCUGCUCGACACGUGUUGAAAAAAGAGGAUAUGAAGGAUGAGGUGGUGCAUUAUGGAGAAUUUUUCUUCUACUUUAUUAUUAUCUAUCUAUAUCUCUAUAUAUAUAAUAGAAUUUACUCACUUUAUCAAUUAGUUUCAUGAGGUUCUGACACGUGUGCUAUUCAUUUUGUGUUUCGUAACUUAAGUUUACAUUUGUUUUUUAUGGGUUUCAUCAGUGUUCUGAUCGGGCCUCGUGUGAAUGGGUUAUUGAACUCCCAUCUCUUAAGCAAAGCUUCUUUUUCCGUGGAGACUUCGAUGUAACAGGUCAAAGGUCAUCGCCCGCAAAGUGCAAUCUGGGACGUUACACAAGUUUGUUGAUUCUAAGGGUCUUCUUUAACGCUCUCAUUAACAACAGCUCCCACUCUUCACACGAUCUGUCAAUCAAUGCAUCUAUUACUUCUAUUGUGAAUCUUGACUAUAAAUAGGUCAGCAUCAAUCUGUCAAAAUCAUAACGCUUGGAGACUCCAACGUUUGUUUCUGCUGAAAGCUUGCGGUGUUGAUGGAUUUCCGAUGAUACUGGCCAGUUGGAUGCACAUGAAUUUCACAAAAUCAGGGCAAAUUCCUUGCUUGGUUUGCACCGGUCAAGAGUUAAUUUGUCUCAGAAGAGAUCCUGAAGAAUGCACCAGUUCCUGCGAUUGUUCAUGCGAUUGUUUGCCAGAACUAUGUCGAUUUUGUUUUGUUUGGUAAAAUAUGAGUCACUUCCUCAGAUUUUUUUCUUCAUCAGAAGCCUACUAAGAAGGAACUAGUUCCUAAGAUUGUUCCAGUGGCAGCUUUGUGAUGUUCUUUACCUUAAGCAGUUGAAUCACUUGAAAAAGUAUUAAAGAAGAAGAAUUAAGUAAAUGGCAGAUUCAGUGCUGAAAAAAGUAUCAGCUGCAGUCACCAUUUGGAUUGGUUUUAGACGACAUAUCCACAGAUUUGGGUUUGUUCAUCAUAAAGAUCAGUUGGAUCUAUUAAACGAAGAUGAUACUAAAGCCGUCAACAAAAAACAAGUUGCAAGCAAAUGUUGAGAUUGGCAGAGGACAAAAUGACUUAAAACUAUAAGAAUCUUACAACUCUAAGUUGCAAGCUUUGUGAUGCUCUUUACCACAAGGAAGACAAGUAAAUUACGAUGUAGUUGGUUUGUUUUCAUUUAGUUGGUGUGCUUCUGAUUUUGUACAAAUUAUAGUGCAGCAAAUUUCUUAUGGAACAACAAAAGAUUCACAAUGUAUUUAAAAACAUAUUUAAAUUGACC